UACAGAGGGGGCAAGCGUUGUUCGGAAUUACUGGGCGUAAAGGGCGCGUAGGCGGCCUGUUAAGUCGAACGUGAAAUCCCUGGGCUCAACCCAGGAACUGCGUCCGAUACUGGCAGGCUUGAAUUCGGGAGAGGGAUGCGGAAUUCCAGGUGUAGCGGUGAAAUGCGUAGAUAUCUGGAGGAACACCGGUGGCGAAGGCGGCUACCUGGACAAUUGCUGACGCUCAGGCACGAAAGCGUGGGGAGCAAAAGGG
rnacentral:rRNA from 1 species